AAGAGACCUGCAGCAUGAAGAUGUGGAAAGCUGUGAGAGACAGCUGUAGGUAAGUAAAACUUGCCUCCCCUGUAAUGCACAGCCACCAAACCCAAACCAGAUCUGUCCAUUUCAGGGAACUCUGAGAAAUAUGCAGAGACCUCCAAAAUUCUCAUAUCCACUUUAAGCUUCAGCACAUGAACACCAGCACACAUUGCAAUAGAGGAAAAAGAGAAGCAGUGAGUGUUAUUGUUUCUCCUCCCUCUCUUAUGUCAGGCGCAAAUGGCAGAAUGUAUAAUAGUGCUUGACAAGGGACCUAGGUGAAGAGGUGUUAAAAAUUGAGUCUGGACAUUUUCAGAUUUGUUGCUUGAUUUCUGCAGAAGAAUGUGCACUCCAGGGGAAAGACUUACAUAAGUUGUGUUCAGAAGUUGGGGUAGUUAUCAUGAAUGCACUAAAACAUACUGUGUGUGACAGCUAUCUUUAAGGAGAAACAAGCAACUUCUGCCCACGCGUUGACCCUUUUAAUGGGUUAAAAAGUGAAUGCAUAGUAGGGUAGGUCAGCCCUUUUUCUAGCUCACACGAGAGAGUAAAAUGGUAUGUCUGUAUCAUUUGGAUGAUCCCUGUUGAUGCUUUGGGUUAGACUUGUAUUCCGUUAGUAAAUUUAGUCCUAACCCCAGCCUGUGUGCCCUGUUAGAACAUUGUUGUUGAAUUUCAGUAUCCAAAGCUACCCAUAAUACAAGUCCUCUAAACACAACACGUGCACCCCCAAAAGGGGAACCAAUUGCUGUCAGAACAUUUGCCUAUCUAAAGCAUGUGUUCAUUCCUGAAGCAAGCUAUGGUAGGUAUUUUUGUUGGUACAGGCAUUGGCCCCAUUUUACUGUGGCUGGCUGGUCAGUAACUGGUGACAGAAAAUAUUAAUUGAAAUGCUCACCCCAAAUCUCUCCUCUUCAGGAGACAAAUCAUGAUUGAUUUAUUGAUCACAAGGAUUAAAAGUUGUCUAGAUUGAAAUGAAAUCCCUGGAAAGGAAAUUAAAAAAAAUAAAUUAAACUAACAUCUGCUUAAUCGUGUGUGCCAGAAUUAAUACAUUCUCUGCGUAUGUGACAAUUAUGUCUGCAUGUACGUGCACAUGGUUUAUGGAAGGAAGAUGCUCAGUGUUUUCUGCAGUGUAAAAAGAGGCUUCAACGUUUGUACUGCAUCCAAAACAACUUUCUUGGAUUUUAUUUGCUUUAAACACAAGAGUAUUUAUACAUUGACAUGAAAAACUAAGAAAUCAAUAUAAUUGUUCACCCCCUUUUAUGCAUCACUUUUAAGUCCCUCCUUAUUAUAUAUAUAUAUAU